CUGCAUGGUUGUCGUCAGCUCGUGCCGUGAGGUGUCGGGUUAAGUCCCAUAACGAGCGCAACCCCUAUCAUUAGUUGCCAUCAGGUCAAGCUGGGGACUCUAAUGAACUGCCUACGCAAGUAGUGAGGAAGUGGGGAUGACGUCAAAUCAGCACGGCCCUUACGUCCAGGGCUACACACGUGCUACAAUGGCCGGUACAAAGGGCAGCUACCUGGUGACAGGAUGCUAAUCUCAAAAGCCGGUCUCAGUUCGGAUCGGAGUCUGCAACCCGACUCCGCGAAGCUGGAAUCGCUAGUAAUCGCGCAUCAGCCAUGGCGCGGUGAAUACGUUCCCGGGCCUU
rnacentral:rRNA from 1 species